rnacentral:rRNA from 1 species
GAGUAAUACUUAGGAAUCUACCUAGUAGUGGGGGAUAGCUCGGGGAAACUCGAAUUAAUACCGCAUACGACCUACGGGAGAAAGGGGGCAACUUGUUGCUCUCGCUAUUAGAUGAGCCUAAGUCGGAUUAGCUAGAUGGUGGGGUAAAGGCCUACCAUGGCGACGAUCUGUAGCUGGUCUGAGAGGAUGAUCAGCCACACCGGGACUGAGACACGGCCCGGACUCCUACGGGAGGCAGCAGUGGGGAAUAUUGGACAAUGGGGGCAACCCUGAUCCAGCCAUGCCGCGUGUGUGAAGAAGGCCUUUUGGUUGUAAAGCACUUUAAGCAGUGAAGAAGACUCCAUGGUUAAUACCCAUGGACGAUGACAUUAGCUGCAGAAUAAGCACCGGCUAACUCUGUGCCAGCAGCCGCGGUAAUACAGAGGGUGCAAGCGUUAAUCGGAAUUACUGGGCGUAAAGCGAGCGUAGGUGGCUUGAUAAGUCAGAUGUGAAAUCCCCGGGCUUAACCUGGGAACUGCAUCUGAUACUGUUAGGCUAGAAUAGGUGAGAGGAAGGUAGAAUUCCAGGUGUAGCGGUGAAAUGCGUAGAGAUCUGGAGGAAUACCGAUGGCGAAGGCAGCCUUCUGGCAUCAUAUUGACACUGAGGUUCGAAAGCGUGGGUAGCAAACAGGAUUAGAUACCCUGGUAGUCCACGCCGUAAACGAUGUCUACUAGUCGUUGGGUCCCUUGAGGACUUAGUGACGCAGCUAACGCAAUAAGUAGACCGCCUGGGGAGUACGGCCGCAAGGUUAAAACUCAAAUGAAUUGACGGGGGCCCGCACAAGCGGUGGAGCAUGUGGUUUAAUUCGAUGCAACGCGAAGAACCUUACCUGGUCUUGACAUAUCUAGAAUCCUGCAGAGAUGCGGGAGUGCCUUCGGGAAUUAGAAUACAGGUGCUGCAUGGCUGUCGUCAGCUCGUGUCGUGAGAUGUUGGGUUAAGUCCCGCAACGAGCGCAACCCUUGUCCUUAGUUACCAGCGGGUUAAGCCGGGAACUCUAAGGAUACUGCCAGUGACAAACUGGAGGAAGGCGGGGACGACGUCAAGUCAUCAUGGCCCUUACGACCAGGGCUACACACGUGCUACAAUGGUAGGUACAGAGGGCAGCUACACAGCGAUGUGAUGCGAAUCUCAAAAAGCCUAUCGUAGUCCAGAUUGGAGUCUGCAACUCGACUCCAUGAAGUAGGAAUCGAUAGUA